rnacentral:rRNA from 1 species
GACGAACGCUGGCGGCGUGCCUAAUACAUGCAAGUCGAACGCUUCUUUCCUCCCGAGUGCUUGCACUCAAUUGGAAAGAGGAGAGGCGGACGGGUGAGUAACACGUGGGUAACCUACCCAUCAGAGGGGGAUAACACUUGGAAACAGGUGCUAAUACCGCAUAACAGUUUAUGCCGCAUGGCAUAAGAGUGAAAGGCGCUUUCGGGUGUCGCUGAUGGAUGGACCCGCGGUGCAUUAGCUAGUUGGUGAGGUAACGGCUCACCAAGGCCACGAUGCAUAGCCGACCUGGGAGGGUGAUCGGCCACACUGGGACUGAGACACGGCCCAGACUCCUACGGGAGGCAGCAGUAGGGAAUCUUCGGCAAUGGACGAAAGUCUGACCGAGCAACGCCGCGUGAGUGAAGAAGGUUUUCGGAUCGUAAAACUCUGUUGUUAGAGAAGAACAAGGACGUUAGUAACUGAACGUCCCCUGACGGUAUCUAACCAGAAAGCCACGGCUAACUACGUG